rnacentral:rRNA from 1 species
AGAGUUUGAUCCUGGCUCAGGAUGAACGCUAGCGACAGGCUUAACACAUGCAAGUCGAGGGGCAGCGAGGGAGUGGCGACACUUCUGUCGGCGACCGGCGCACGGGUGAGUAACGCGUAUGCAACCUGCCCUUCACAGGGGGAUAACCGGGAGAAAUUCCGACUAAUACCGCAUACGUCCUCCGGGGGCAUCCCCGGGGGAUGAAAGAAUUAUCGGUGAAGGAUGGGCAUGCGUGAUAUUAGGUAGUUGGCGGGGCAACGGCCCACCAAGCCCACGAUAUCUAGGGGUUCUGAGAGGAAGGUCCCCCACAUUGGUACUGAGACACGGACCAAACUCCUACGGGAGGCAGCAGUGAGGAAUAUUGGUCAAUGGACGAGAGUCUGAACCAGCCAAGUCGCGUGAAGGAAGACGGAUCUAUGGUUUGUAAACUUCUUUAGUGCGGGAACAAAGCGGCGUCGUGACGCCUGAUGAGUGUACCGCAAGAAUAAGCAUCGGCUAACUCCGUGCCAGCAGCCGCGGUAAUACGGAGGAUGCGAGCGUUAUCCGGAUUUAUUGGGUUUAAAGGGAGCGCAGGCUGCGAGGCAAGUCAGCGGUCAAAUGUCGGGGCUCAACCCCGGCCUGCCGUUGAAACUGUUUUGCUAGAGUUCGAGUGAGGUAUGCGGAAUGCGUUGUGUAGCGGUGAAAUGCAUAGAUAUGACGCAGAACUCCGAUUGCGAAGGCAGCAUACCAACUCGCGACUGACGCUGAGGCUCGAAAGCGUGGGUAUCGAACAGGAUUAGAUACCCUGGUAGUCCACGCAGUAAACGAUGAAUACUAACUGUUCGGAGGGCGACCUCUGAGUGGUAAAGCGAAAGCGUUAAGUAUUCCACCUGGGGAGUACGCCGGCAACGGUGAAACU